rnacentral:piRNA from 1 species
UGCUCUAUUGGUUUUUUUUCU